UACAGAGGGGGCAAGCGUUGUUCGGAAUUACUGGGCGUAAAGGGCGCGUAGGCGGCCUUCUAAGUCGAACGUGAAAUCCCCGGGCUCAACCCGGGAACUGCGUCUGAUACUGGUUGGCUUGAAUCCGGGAGAGGGAUGUGGAAUUCCAGGUGUAGCGGUGAAAUGCGUAGAUAUCUGGAGGAACACCGGUGGCGAAGGCGGCAUCCUGGACCGGUAUUGACGCUGAGGAGCGAAAGCCAGGGGAGCAAACGGG
rnacentral:rRNA from 1 species